rnacentral:tRNA from 1 species
UGUCAAGUGGCUCAGAUGGUAAAGUGUCUGCCUGCAAUGCGGGAGACCCAGGUUUGAUCCCUGGUUCGGGAA